GCUGGCGGCCAUACCACCUUCAGCUAAGCUCUCAUAAGCUGAACAGGGCCGGGUUAGUUCGGUGUUCUUAUGGGAGACCUCCAAAGAAACCCUGGAGGUGUCAGCA
ensembl:rRNA 5S_rRNA 5S ribosomal RNA